rnacentral:rRNA from 1 species
GCUCGUAGGCGGUCUGUCGCGUCGGAUGUGAAAGCCCGGGGCUUAACCCCGGGUCUGCAUUCGAUACGGGCAGACUAGAGUGUGGUAGGGGAGAUCGGAAUUCCUGGUGUAGCGGUGAAAUGCGCAGAUAUCAGGAGGAACACCGGUGGCGAAGGCGGAUCUCUGGGCCAUUACUGACGCUGAGGAGCGAAAGCGUGGGGAGCGAACAGGAUUAGAUACCCUGGUAGUCCACGCCGUAAACGGUGGGAACUAGGUGUUGGCGACAUUCCACGUCGUCGGUGCCGCAGCUAACGCAUUAAGUUCCCCGCC